rnacentral:rRNA from 1 species
ACGGCGUAGUAAUGCAUCGGAACGUACCCUCUGGUCGGGGAUAGCUACGGGAAACUGUAGGUAAUACCCGAUGAUCUCUGCGGAGCAAAGGUGAGAUUCCGCCGGAGGAGCGGCUGAUGUGAUAUUAGCUAGUUGGUGGGGUAAUGGCCCACCAAGGCGAUGAUGUCUAGGGGGUGUGAGAGCAUGGCCCCCACGACCGGAACUGAGAUACUGUCCGGACGCCUACGGGUGGCUGCAGUCGAGAAUCUUCCGCAAUGGACGAAAGUCUGACGGAGCGACGCCGCGUGCGGGAUGAAGGCCCUUGGGUUGUAAACCGCUGUCAGAGGGGAUGAAAUCUUCGGAGGUACUCCUCCGAAGUUGACAGAGCCUCAAAGGAAGCACGGGCUAAGUACGUGCCAGCAGCCGCGGUAACACGUACUGUGCGAACGUUAUUCGGAAUCACUGGGCUUAAAGGGUGCGUAGGCGGCGAAUCAAGUCAGGUGUGAAAGGCCUGAGCUCAACUGAGGCAUUGCGCUUGAAACUGAUUUGCUUGAGUAUCCCAGGGGUGUGCGGAACUGCCAGUGGAGCGGUGAAAUGUGUUGA